rnacentral:lncRNA from 1 species
CGUCCUCAAAUCUCGCCAUGUUAACGAAUUCAGCUGCCUCAGGCAUGACGUCAGAUUCGGCAUUAACGUUGUGAUCGUUUACCGGAGAUAUUGUCGGAGGUAGACCGAGCUCAUCGUCGGAAGCUUCGAGAAGGUAACCGAGGUCCGUUUGAGAUUCGCCGGAUUCCGAUGGAUUCAGAUCGAGAACGGUCUGAGAAUCGUCGUGAAGAGGUGAGUGAUGAAGGAUUUCUUCCUCAAAACUCUUCAUGACGGAAUCCAGAUCCUGAAUCUCCGGCGGACAUUCGUUCAGAGCAUCAGGCUCAUCUAAGAUAUCCAAUAUAUCUUCUCUUAUCUGCUUAGCCUCCGGCGAAUCCAGGUACACAUCUUUUCGCACGUCAUCGGAAUCCGAUGAGUUGACUCGGUUCAACUCAGACGAGUCGGGAGCGGUCUUCUCUAGCUCUGAUGAGUUAACUCGCUUGGGCUCAGGCGAGUCAUCAAAUGCGUCCAAUCCUGACUCAACUCGGGUCCGCUUAUUACUGUUAUUAUUAUUCUCAGUUUUCAACUCUUUUUUCAUGUUGAGACAAAAGCCUUAACAACUGAUGUGAAGAGAUUUCUCAAAAUUAUAAAAUCCAAGAAUAGGACAAUAGGUGGGGGCUAGUGGGGUAACUACUCUAGGCACAAAGUCUAGAAAGAUAAAAUGAGCUUUGGAAAAAAAAAGAGGGAAGGGCAAAAGAGAGAUAUUAGCUUUUGGUAGUUGUAAGUCCUUGUUUGGUUAUAGGAAAGAAGAAAGAGAGAGAAGAGGGAAAAAUAUUUUGAAGCAAUGAAGGAGAUAAGGAAGGGGAAGAUAGUUUAUAUAGUGGGAGAGAAAAGGAGGGGGACCAAAGGGUGAGAGGGAUAAGAUUUGGUUGUGUGUGUGAGAGAAGGAAGAGAGAGAAGGGGAGAAACGAGACAAAAGAUGCUGUUUUCAGGUUGAGAUGCAAAGGUGGAGAGAAGUGGAGCUGGCAAUUAUAGUAGUCCCAUCUUAAGUAUUCGUUUGGCCAUAAAACAAAUGUUUAUUUUCUAGGGAUUAUUUUUCUUUUUUAAAUUAAAAAAUUAGUGUUUGGCUUUUAUUUAAGUACACAUAUGUCCAUAUUGAUAGGGUUUACAACACACAGUAUUUUACCAAAGAGCAACAUAUUCAAUAUAUUUAUUUUCAUAAUAAAACCAAAUAUGAAGGAUAAAGUGCAUAAAAUUUAUAUUUCUACGUUAACAGAUACAUAGAGUAGAGAGAUUGUUUUCAAUAAAUUUUUGGCUAAAACUAAAGUAAUUGGUUAGAAAAAAAUUAAUAUAAAAAUAAGAGAUAAUAAAAAAUAACACAAUAAAUACUGACAGAAAAAAGAUUACCACAAAGUAGUGUUAUAAUUAAUUUAUCUGAAACAACAACAUUAUCAAAACUUCAAAACUAAAGACACUACGGAAUCAUUUGAUGGAUAUACAGAAUAAAUAAUUUCAAAAUAAAAUGAAAAAUUAUUUUAUUUCAUAUUUGAUGUGAGGUAUUAAUUAGUAUCGAAAUUCCAUAAAAGUCAUCCUCAUCUUUUCCUAAUAACUUCAUUAAUUUACCUCUUUUAUCCCUAUCAGCACAUUCAUCGUCGCCGUUUUCAAUUUUACUACUUUUGUCCUCUGGGAUACAAGGAACUUUAUAGCACCGCGCUGCAUUUUAUACUGUACGGCUACUCUAUUACAUCAUCAUUAAUUUUUUAUUACUUUCUCCGUUUCAUUUGGUGUGAUCAUUUUUUUUAAUUCAUUUUAAAAAACAUAUCAUACUUUUUUAUUUAAUAAAUAUUUAAAAACAUAAUUACAUCUUUAUCUUUAUUAAACCCACUUAAUUAAAAAUAAAUAGCGACACAUUUUUAAUAAAAGACAACCUGAUAAAUAUUUUUUAUUUUUUUAAUUUUGUGCCCGAUCAAAUAACACAUAAAAUGAGAGGGAGAGGGAGUACUAAAUACUACCCUUCUCUACUAGUAUAUGACUUGUGAAUCACAUAAAUUAUGUAUAUUUCUUUUGUAAAAUAGAAAAAUAUCACACAAACGUAAGAGCAACGAAUCAAUAGGAGUACAAAGGAGAAAAUCGUCUUUCUUUGUUUUCCUCGCAUUAAAAACAGAAUUUAUACUGAUAAUAUAUUCAAUACUGUAUAAUAGCGCAUGGCAGAAAACAGAAAUACAAUUUGUUUGUUCUAGCAACUUUCUUUGCUUCAAUAAUUAAAUGGGCUAAAAUUAAGCUAAUUGUGUGUGAGUAAUUCUACUGUAUUUUUGGCACUUGGCUGGGUAGACAGUUCAAAUGAGCAAAUUAUAUAAGGAUGAUGUAAAAUUUCCAAAUUCUACCAUCUGAAAACACUUGAUUCUAAAGUAUUGAAUUUCAAAUUUAGCUUUCCUAUUUUUAUGCUGUGCUGCUUUCUGGUUUUCAGAUGUACAAACUAACGCUACCAUUCACAUAACCAAAAAAGUUUCAUCAGUUCAUAGAGCGGGUAAGGAUUCCUGCCGCCAUGAAAAUUCAGAAAAAUCCGACGGCUCCGGGUAAUCAAACAACCCGCCGACUGUUAAAAAGUCGCCGUUGCUAUUACCUCCGUCAUUAUCUCCUUCCCUGAGGUCAUGCUCCAUGCCAAAAUCGAACGUGUCGUAAUUAGGCAUAUCGUCCUCAAAUCUCGCCAUGUUAACGAAUUCAGCUGCCUCAGGCAUGACGUCAGAUUCGGCAUUAACGUUGUGAUCGUUUACCGGAGAUAUUGUCGGAGGUAGACCGAGCUCAUCGUCGGAAGCUUCGAGAAGGUAACCGAGGUCCGUUUGAGAUUCGCCGGAUUCCGAUGGAUUCAGAUCGAGAACGGUCUGAGAAUCGUCGUGAAGAGGUGAGUGAUGAAGGAUUUCUUCCUCAAAACUCUUCAUGACGGAAUCCAGAUCCUGAAUCUCCGGCGGACAUUCGUUCAGAGCAUCAGGCUCAUCUAAGAUAUCCAAUAUAUCUUCUCUUAUCUGCUUAGCCUCCGGCGAAUCCAG